UGAAUCAGAAUCAGCAGGGUGCAGGCCAGAAACCGGUGUUUCAAAAACUCUCUGGGUGAUUCUGAUGCACUGUAGUGUUUGAGAAGAACUACUUUAAAGUUUGCAGUUACUCCCAUGUACAUUGUAAGAGUUUUACCUCCAUCUUAUGAAGUAGAGAUGUUUUGACCCAUUCUACAACGGAAUAAGAGAAGGCACAGAGAAUAUAAGAUACUCUCAUCCUACAACCAGUAGACUCCUCCUGAGGGGUAUGAAGAUUAUGUUCUAACUGGAGAAGGUGUCGAGUCCCUUUGCUGUCACUUUCCUGUUGAUUUUAUUUCGGUAAAUCUUCCUAGUCCAAGGAAGAAAGCUUUGAUCACUUGAAAUCCUGAAAGAGACUAAAAACGACACUGAAAUUGCCUUUGUGUGGAGAUAAUAAAUAUAAUUGGCCCAGUCAUGAAGAGUGUGCCUGUGAUAUUGGAGCAGCUGGUUAGCUAUGAUGGGAUCCAGCUGUCCCUGACACCCCACUUUAUGAAUCAACUGGAAAAGGAAAUGAGAGAGACAAGAGAGGCCAUGGAGUCAAAAGGUUCCACACAAAAGGGAGACCAUACAGUAUUUGUCUUUAUCUGGCUUAUUUCACUUAGCAUAGGCCUCCUCAUGUUGUUGCAAACGGUAAAUUGCCUUCCUCCCAUUUGAAGUCCCAAACCACACCCUCAACAUCCUCCUUUGUCUUUAGCUGAAGAUAGUAUUUAAGUUGGUGACUUCAGACAUUGUGAGAGAAAAAUAAUGAGGGAAAUUCAUUUUAGAAUGAAUAAAUACUAAGGUGAAAACCAGAACAUCUGGAGUCUGCUCCCCACGCUCUCACUGGGAGCUUUCCAAACUCACGCCAAGGGGCCUCACUAACAUUAAAUGUUCUCUAUGGUCUUAUUAGGUGUAAAAGUUUACAAUCCAAUGAUUUCCUCCUGCUAGAGUGAUGUAUAAAAUCUUGUGGGAAGUAGAAGAAUAAACAGUGUUUAAGCUUAAUAAUACCUUUAUGAGAUGAGGAAACUUGAGCCCAAAACAUUUAUUAACUUGCCAGGAGUUAUAGAAAUUACUCAGGGCUUCCAAAUCAGCUUCGCUAGCAGACAUUUGGCUGGAUUAAGAAUAGUAUCAGGACCCUGAAGAAGCAUAUUUAUUUUAGGAGUAUUCUAAAUAUGGUUAAUUCAAUUUUUCAGUUAGCCUAUGGUGCUGGUAUUCACUCAGUGUCUCGUAAACACUAUUUCCAGCAGCAAUAAAAAUAGAGAUGAAAUGUUAUUU
rnacentral:lncRNA from 1 species